rnacentral:rRNA from 1 species
AUUGAACGCUGGCGGCAUGCCUAACACAUGCAAGUCGAACGGGGCAGCAAUGCCUAGUGGCGGACGGGUGAGGAAUACGUAGGAAUCUGCCCUUAAGUGGGGGAUAACCAGGGGAAACCCUGACUAAUACCGCAUGAUCUCUUCGGAGCAAAGAGGGGGACCGCAAGGCCUCUCGCUUCUGGAUGAGCCUACGUCUGAUUAGCUAGUUGGUAGGGUAAAGGCCUACCAAGGCGACGAUCAGUAACUGGUCUGAGAGGAUGAUCAGUCACACCGGAACUGGGACACGGUCCGGACUCCUACGGGGGGCAGCAGUGGGGAAUAUUGGACAAUGGGCGCAAGCCUGAUCCAGCAAUGCCGCGUGUGUGAAGAAGGCCUUCGGGUUGUAGAGCACUUUAGCCUGGAAAGAAAAAACUUUGGUUAACACCCAAAGUCUUGACGGUACCAGGAGAAUAAGCACCGGCUAACUCCGUGCCAGCCGCCGCGGUAAGAC